rnacentral:rRNA from 1 species
GAACGCUGGCGGCGUGCCUAAUACAUGCAAGUCGAACGCAUUGUGGUUGAAAUGAUAUGAAGAACUUGUUCAGAUUUGAUUUUCAACAUUGCAAUGAGUGGCGAACGGGUGAGUAACACGUGGGAAACCUACCUCUUAGCAGGGGAUAACAUUUGGAAACAAAUGCUAAUACCGUAUAAUAAUUAAAACCGCAUGGUUUUAGUUUAAAAGAUGGUCUUGCUAUCACUAAGAGAUGGUCCCGCGGUGUAUUAGUUAGUUGGUGAGGUAAUGGCUCACCAAGACAAUGAUACAUAGCCGAGUUGAGAGACUGACCGGCCACAAUGGGACUGAGACACGGCCCAUACUCCUACGGGAGGCAGCAGUAGGGAAUCUUCCACAAUGGACGAAAGUCUGAUGGAGCAACGCCGCGUGUGUGAUGAAGGGUUUCGGCUCGUAAAACACUGUUGUAAGAGAAGAAUGACAUUGAGAGUAACUGUUCAAUGUGUGACGGUAUCUUACUAGAAAGGAACGGCUAAAUACGUGCCAGCAGCCGCGGUAAUACGUAUGUUCCAAGCGUUAUCCGGAUUUAUUGGGCGUAAAGCGAGCGCAGACGGUUAUUUAAGUCUGAAGUGAAAGCCCUCGGCUCAACCGAGGAAUUGCUUUGGAAACUGGAUAACUUGAGUGCAGUAGAGGAAAGUGGAACUCCAUGUGUAGCGGUGAAAUGCGUAGAUAUAUGGAAGAACACCAGUGGCGAAGGCGGCUUUCUGGACUGUAACUGACGUUGAGGCUCGAAAGUGUGGGUAGCAAACAGGAUUAGAUACCCUGGU